rnacentral:rRNA from 1 species
GGCGGCAUGCCUUACACAUGCAAGUCGAACGGCAGCACGGGAGCAAUCCUGGUGGCGAGUGGCGAACGGGUGAGUAAUACAUCGGAACGUGUCCUGGAGUGGGGGAUAGCCCGGCGAAAGCCGGAUUAAUACCGCAUACGCUCUAUGGAGGAAAGUGGGGGAUCUUUCGGGACCUCGCGCUCAAGGGGCGGCCGAUGGCAGAUUAGCUAGUUGGUGGGGUAAAGGCCUACCAAGGCGACGAUCUGUAGCUGGUCUGAGAGGACGACCAGCCACACUGGGACUGAGACACGGCCCAGACUCCUACGGGAGGCAGCAGUGGGGAAUUUUGGACAAUGGGCGCAAGCCUGAUCCAGCAAUGCCGCGUGUGUGAAGAAGGCCUUCGGGUUGUAAAGCACUUUUGUCCGGAAAGAAAUCCUUUGGGCUAAUACCCCGGGGGGAUGACGGUACCGGAAGAAUAAGCACCGGCUAACUACGUGCCAGCAGCCGCGGUAAUACGUA